rnacentral:rRNA from 1 species
GACGAACGCUGGCGGCGUGCUUAACACAUGCAAGUCGAACGGUGAAGCUCCAGCUUGCUGGAGUAGAUCAGUGGCGAACGGGUGAGUAACACGUGAGCAACCUGCCCCUGACUCUGGAAUAAGCGCUGGAAACGGCGUCUAAUACUGGAUACGAGAAGGGUCCGCAUGGGCACUUUCUGGAAAGUUUUUCGGUUGGGGAUGGGCUCGCGGCCUAUCAGCUUGUUGGUGAGGUAAUGGCUCACCAAGGCGACGACGGGUAGCCGGCCUGAGAGGGCGACCGGCCACACUGGGACUGAGACACGGCCCAGACUCCUACGGGAGGCAGCAGUGGGGAAUAUUGCACAAUGGGCGAAAGCCUGAUGCAGCGACGCCGCGUGAGGGAUGACGGCCUUCGGGUUGUAAACCUCUUUCAGCAGGGAAGAAGCGAAAGUGACGGUACCUGCAGAAGAAGCACCGGCUAACUACGUG